UACGUAGGGUGCGAGCGUUAAUCGGAAUUACUGGGCGUAAAGUGUGCGCAGGCGGCCGCGCAAGUCGAGUGUGAAAGCCCCGGGCUUAACUUGGGAAUUGCGCUCGAAACUACGUGGCUGGAGUGUGGCAGAGGAAGGUGGAAUUCCACGUGUAGCGGUGAAAUGCGUAGAUAUCUGGAGGAACACCGGUGGCGAAGGCGGCGUUCUGGACUGUUUCUGACACUGAAUAACGAAAGCCAGGGGAGCAAACGGG
rnacentral:rRNA from 1 species